AACACCAAAAGGGAUUUGACUUGUGGUGAGGAAAGACGUCCUAUGGGCCAGGGGUUUUAGUGGCCUUCCUGUGGGAUUCUAUCGUCUGAGUUCUAUUUUACACCGACCUGGUGCUGGCAGCGCUGGUGUAACUACCAGGGUAGGACUUCUUGAGGAAGCUGUGAACCCAGAGGAACAGGAUUCACUCUGAAGACUCAGAUCCCAUUGACAGGACCCACUGGCGCCGGGAUCCACUGACACCAGGAGCCACUGACACCAGAUCCCACUGAUCGUACCCAUGGCCAUGUACCAGCAGGCAGCUGUCUCCAAGCAGCAGGACAACACCUUCUCCAGCGGGGUCAUGGAGGAGUCUGAGGUCUGCUCUGUGCCUGGGGGGCUCGCCAGCGUCAGGGCACAAUUCGAGAACCAGGAAACUGCAACAUCGCACAAUGUCUCCCAGUUCCACUUCCACCGCAGAGCUGUGCAGGUACUGUAAUUAAUGCAGGCUAAUGUCAGACAUGCGAUGCAUGGGGGAACGUGCAGAUAUAGUAUGACCUACGCAGGUCUAAUUCCAGCCUACCAUCCAGCUAUCCAUCCAUCCAUCCACACCACUGUGUUCCUGCCCUCAUAACUUCCCCUGCUGAGUGGAAGUCACUCACUCAGUGAGCAAGCACAAAUCUUGGUGAAUAUUGAAUGAUUGAAGAGGCUGGGGAGAUGCCC
rnacentral:lncRNA from 1 species